GAUGGUGAAGAGAGGUGUGAGAGAGAUCCCGUGAAAGAGCUUUAGGGUUAAGGGUAUUGUUUUGUGAUUUUGAAGAUAGAUCGAGGGUGUUCUUGUCUUUUGCACUUUUUUUUUUAUCACAGGUUUUUGGUCGCAACGCUGAAUUUUUUGGCGAUCAAAAUUUUUAAACGUGGAUCGCUAGCGUCUAGUUGCAGCGAUCGAUCGCAGAACCAGCGACAGGAAAACGAACAACGUUUAGACGCUGGAACUAAACGAACAAGGCCUACAUAUACAUCAUUUUCAUACAAACAAACAUCGUGUCAAAUGUCAAUAAUAAUAUACAACAAAUCAGAUAUUUAGGCAGAUUGCAACUCUGAAGUUGACAUUCACCACAAGGCCCAAACUACUCCACGUCA
rnacentral:lncRNA from 1 species